UACAGAGGGUGCAAGCGUUAAUCGGAAUUACUGGGCGUAAAGCGAGCGUAGUCGGUUAUUUAAGUCGGGUGUGAAAGCCCCGGGCUCAACCUGGGAAUUGCAUUCGAUACUGGAUAGCUAGAGUUCGGCAGAGGGAAGCGGAAUUUCCGGUGUAGCGGUGAAAUGCGCAGAUAUCAGGAGGAACACCCGUGGCGAAAGCGGCUCUCGUAGGGACGGUACUGACGCUGAGACGCGAAAGCGUGGGGAGCAAACAGG
rnacentral:rRNA from 1 species